rnacentral:rRNA from 1 species
AUUGAACGCUGGCGGCAUGCCUUACACAUGCAAGUCGAACGGUAACAGGUCUUCGGACGCUGACGAGUGGCGAACGGGUGAGUAAUACAUCGGAACGUGCCCAGUCGUGGGGGAUAACUACUCGAAAGAGUAGCUAAUACCGCAUACGAUCUGAGGAUGAAAGCGGGGGACCUUCGGGCCUCGCGCGAUUGGAGCGGCCGAUGGCAGAUUAGGUAGUUGGUGGGAUAAAAGCUUACCAAGCCGACGAUCUGUAGCUGGUCUGAGAGGACGACCAGCCACACUGGGACUGAGACACGGCCCAGACUCCUACGGGAGGCAGCAGUGGGGAAUUUUGGACAAUGGGCGAAAGCCUGAUCCAGCAACGCCGCGUGCAGGAUGAAGGCCUUCGGGUUGUAAACUGCUUUUGUACGGAACGAAAAAGCUUCUCCUAAUACGAGAGGCCCUUGACGGUACCGUAAGAAUAAGCACCGGCUAACUACGUGCCAGCCGCCGCGGUAACAC